UUAAAGGCGUAGAUAAGGAUUAGUAUUUGUCCGGAUUUUUCAGAGAGAAGAUGGUUGGUGGAAAUCUUCAUUGAAAGGCAUUGAACCUCCCUUUGAGCUUAUUGACCCAAUUAAGUCAAUACGGUAUCCUCCGUUAUAGGGAAAGGCAUCAAACUUUAGUUCUCGUGCUGUUGAGAGUGGAUUUUUCCAAAAUUAGGUGGUACCGCGAUAUUUCGUCCUGAGU
rnacentral:ncRNA from 1 species